rnacentral:rRNA from 1 species
UUGUUGGAGGGUUUCCGCCCUUCAGUGCCGCAGCUAACGCAUUAAGCAUUCCGCCUGGGGAGUACGACCGCAAGGUUGAAACUCAAAGGAAUUGACGGGGGCCCGCACAAGCGGUGGAGCAUGUGGUUUAAUUCGAAGCAACGCGAAGAACCUUACCAGGUCUUGACAUCUUUUGAUCACCUGAGAGAUCAGGUUUCCCCUUCGGGGGCAAAAUGACAGGUGGUGCAUGGUUGUCGUCAGCUCGUGUCGUGAGAUGUUGGGUUAAGUCCCGCAACGAGCGCAACCCUUAUGACUAGUUGCCAGCAUUUAGUUGGGCACUCUAGUAAGACUGCCGGUGACAAACCGGAGGAAGGUGGGGAUGACGUCAAAUCAUCAUGCCCCUUAUGACCUGGGCUACACACGUGCUACAAUGGAUGGUACAACGAGUUGCGAGACCGCGAGGUCAAGCUAAUCUCUUAAAGCCAUUCUCAGUUCGGACUGUAGGCUGCAACUCGCCUACACGAAGUCGGAAUCGCUAGUAAUCGCGGAUCAGCACGCCGCGGUGAAUACGUUCCCGGGCCUUGUACACACCGCCCGUCACACCAUGAGAGUUUGUAACACCCGAAGCCGGUGGCGUAACCCUUUUAGGGAGCGAGCCGUCUAAGGUGGGACAAAUGAUUAGGGUGAAGUCGUAACGAAGGGUAACCGAAA